rnacentral:rRNA from 1 species
GACGAACGCUGGCGGCGUGCUUAACACAUGCAAGUCGUGCGGUAAGGCCCUUUCGGGGGUCCACGAGCGGCGAACGGGUGAGUAACACGUGAGCAACCUGCCCUUCACUUUGGGAUAACUGCCGGAAACGGUGGCUAAUACCGGAAAUGACUUACUCACGCAUGUGGGGUGGUGGAAAGCCUUCGGGUGGUGGGGGAUGGGCUCGCGGUCUAUCAGCUUGUUGGUGGGGUGAUGGCCUACCAAGGCUUCGACGGGUAGCCGGCCUGAGGGGGUGACCGGCCACACGGCGACUGAGACACGGCCCAGUCUCCUACGGGAGGCAGCAGUGGGGAAUAUUGGACAAUGGGCGAAAGCCUGAUCCAGCAGCGCCGCGUGAGGGAUGACGGCCUUCGGGUUGUAAACCUCUUUCGCCUGCGACGAAGCGAGAGUGACGGUAGCAGGUAAAGAAGCACCGGCCAACUACGUG